rnacentral:rRNA from 1 species
AUGGAACUCAAGCAAACUCGAUCGCUCAUCUUUUCAGGCAUUGUUCAAGACAUACCAUGUAUACGGAAGUUUGAACUCGUCCGAGUUAUGGACCUUGAAGCUAGCUUUUCUAGGAAUAUUUCAUGUGACCUGACCGGCAUAUGCAGACUCUUCUUACUGAGAUAUUUGAGGAUCAGAGGCAAUUCCUUCAAACUGCCUGAUCAAAUACGAACACUGAAACAUCUGAAGACACUGGAACUGAAUGACAACCUGCUUGAUGUUCCGUCGGAUGUCUUCAAGUUGCAGUCCUUGUCGCAUCUGAUUGUUCCAGGCAAUGCUGAGCUGGCUGACGGAAUGGGUAACAUGAGAGCUCUCCGCACUCUGUGUGCCUUGGAUUUUCCAGGGUGUCCCAUGGAUAGGCUUCGAGCUCUCGCCAAGCUAACAAAUCUAAGGGAUCUUCAACUAAGCUACCAGGUACAUAGAGGUGGCCAAGAUCCUGAUGUAGCUGAACGUAAGGAAGCUUUGGUGAUCUCCCUAGUCAAUCUCGGCUGCAACCUUCGCUCCUUUGCUUUCUCUCGUUAUUCCUGGCGCAUGCCAGCUGAUGUACUGAGCCACUGGGAACCUGCUCCACGAAGUCUCGAGAGGCUUCAUCUGCUGAUGUGCUCUUUCAGUGCAGUUCCAGCAUGGAUUGCAUCCCUUGACAGCCUCACCCGUCUGGGGCUUCGUGUUCAUGUGCUCCAGCGGGAUGGGUUGGAGAUUCUCGGGAAGCUAACCGUCCCUUGUCGAUCUUCAGUUUUCUGUCCGUUCAGUUCCUGGACAAAAGAUCGUCAUCGCUGCUGGGGGGCCAAUAGCUCCUGUGCGACGUUUUUCAUGCAAAUUGGAAGGAGUGUGAUGUAG